AUUGAACGCUGGCGGCAGGCUUAACACAUGCAAGUCGAACGAGUGGCGGACGGGUGAGUAAUGCUUGGGCAUCUAGCUUAUGGAGGGGGAUAACUACGGGAAACUGUAGCUAAUACCGCGUACCAUAGGAUGAGCCCAAGUGGGAUUAGGUAGUUGGUGAGGGAAAGGCUCACCAAGCAGACGAUCCCGAGCUGGUCUGAGAGGAUGACCAGCCACACUGGUACGGAGACACGGCCCAGACUCCUACGGGAGGCAGCAGUGGGGAAUAUUGCGCAAUGGGGGAAACCUGACGCAGCCAUGCCGCGUGAAUGAAGAAGGCCUUCGGGUUGUAAAGUUCUUUCGGUAGCGAGGCGUUAACUACAGAGGAAGCACCGGCUAACUCCGUGCCAGCAGCCGCGGUAAUUC
rnacentral:rRNA from 1 species